rfam:Schistosoma curassoni strain Dakar, Senegal genome assembly, scaffold: SCTD_scaffold0013454
AGAUUUUUGAACCCGUGCUCAGGUUUCGUCAGACACUAACCUACCAGGGCUGAUGAGACUUACAGGACAAGUCA